UACGUAGGCAGCGAGCGUUGUUCGGAAUUACUGGGCGUAAAGGGCGUGUAGGCGGCCAACUAAGUCCGACGUGAAAUCCCCAGGCUUAACCUGGGAACUGCGUCGGAUACUGGAUGGCUUGAAUUCGGGAGAGGGAUGCAGAAUUCCAGGUGUAGCGGUGAAAUGCGUAGAUAUCUGGAGGAAUACCGGUGGCGAAGGCGGCAUCCUGGACCGAGAUUGACGCUGAAGCGCGAAAGCUAGGGGAGCAAACGGG
rnacentral:rRNA from 1 species